rnacentral:rRNA from 1 species
UACGUAGGGUGCAAGCGUUAAUCGGAAUUACUGGGCGUAAAGCGUAUGCAGGCGGAUCGUUAAGUCGGGGGUGAAAUCCCGAGGCUCAACCUCGGAACUGCCUUCGAUACUGGCGAUCUUGAGUCCGGGAGAGGUGAGUGGAACUCCGAGUGUAGAGGUGAAAUUCGUAGAUAUUCGGAAGAACACCAGUGGCGAAGGCGGCUCACUGGCCCGGUACUGACGCUGAGAUACGAAAAGCGUGGGGAGCAAACAGG